GUGCUCACUCCAGCAGCACAUACACUAAAACUGGAACACUGCAGAGAGUAACAUGGCCCCAGUGCAAGGGUGACAGCCAAAUUUGGGAAACAUUCCAUAUUUUG